GUGAGGAAUAUUGCGCAAUGGAGGCAACUCUGACGCAGCCAUGCCGCGUGCAGGAAGAAGGCGCUACGCGUUGUAAACUGCUUUUAACCGGGAAGAAACCCCAGGACGUGUCCUGGGUUGACGGUACCGGAGGAAUAAGCACCGGCUAACUUCGUGCCAGCAGCCGCGGUAAUACGAAGGGUGCAAGCGUUAUCCGGAUUCAUUGGGUUUAAAGGGUGCGUAGGCGGAGCGUUAAGUCAGUGGUGAAAUCCUGCAGCUUAACUGUAGACUUGCCAUUGAUACUGGCGCUCUUGAGUGCGCUUGAAGUGGGCGGAAUGUGCCGUGUAGCGGUGAAAUGCUUAGAUAUGGCACAGAACACCAAUUGCGAAGGCAGCUCACUAAGCAAAUAUUGACGCUGAGGCACGAAAGCGUGGGGAUCAAACAGGAUUAGAUACCCCAGUAGUCC
rnacentral:rRNA from 1 species